ACCCAGCCUACAGCUCUGUUGGUAGAGCAUGAGACUCUUAAUCGCAGGCUCAUGGGUUCGACCCCCACAUUGGGCA